rnacentral:rRNA from 1 species
UACGGUGGGGGCUAGCGUUGUUCGGAAAUACUGGGCGUAAAGCGCACGUAGGCGGCGCGGCAAGUCAGGGGUGAAAUCCCGGGGCUCAACCCCGGAACUGCCCUUGAAACUGCCGUGCUAGAAUCUUGGAGAGGCGAGUGGAAUUCCGAGUGUAGAGGUGAAAUUCGUGGAUAUUCGGAAGAACACCAGUGGCGUAGGCGACUCGCUGGACAAGUAUUGACGCUGAGGUGCGAAAGCGUGGGGAGCAAACAGG